rnacentral:lncRNA from 1 species
UAAUGUUUGUGCCGGGACCGAAAAAAAAAAAAAAAGCCUGCAGUUAGUUGGAAGUGUCCUGCCAAGAUGUCUAUCGGUGUGCCAGUUAAAGUCUGGCACGAAGCGGAAGGCCACAUAGUGACAUGUGAGACCAGCACUGGUGGAGUAUCCUGGGGAAGCUCAUUCAAGCAGAGGACAGCAUGAACUACCAGAUUUCCAACAUCACAGUCACACACAGAGAUGGCCAAGUGGCACAGCUGGAACACGUGUGCAUACGUGGCAGCAAGAUCCGGUUUCUGAUUUUGCCUGACAUGCUGAAAAAUGCACCCAUGCCAAACAGCAUGAAAAAUAAAAACCAAGGCUCAGGGGCUGGCCGAGGAAAAGCUGCUAUCCUGAAGGCCCAAGUGG